rnacentral:siRNA from 1 species
UCCCUUUGGAUGUCUUCAUGU